rnacentral:rRNA from 1 species
UAGGGAAUCUUCGGCAAUGGACGAAAGUCUGACCGAGCAACGCCGCGUGUGUGAAGAAGGUUUUCGGAUCGUAAAACUCUGUUGUUAGAGAAGAACAAGGACGUUAGUAACUGAACGUCCCCUGACGGUAUCUAACCAGAAAGCCACGGCUAACUACGUGCCAGCAGCCGCGUUAAUACGUAUGUGGCAAGCGUUGUCCGGAUUUAUUGGGCGUAAAGCGAGCGCAGGCGGUUUCUUAAGUCUGAUGUGAAAGCCCCCGGCUCAACCGGGGAGGGUCAUUGGAAAAUGGGAGACUUGAGUGCAGAAGAGGAGAGGGGAAUUCCAUGUGUAGAGGGGAAAGGCGUAGAUAUAUGGAGGAACACCAGUGGAGAAGGCGGAUCUCUGGUCUGUAAAUGACGCUGAGGCUCGAAAGCGUGGGGAGCAAACAGG